rnacentral:rRNA from 1 species
AACGAACGCUGGCGGCAUGCCUAACACAUGCAAGUCGAGCGCCCGUAGCAAUACGGGAGCGGCGCACGGGUGAGUAACGCGUGGGAACCUGCCCAGAGGUUCGGGACAACCGCGGGAAACUGCGGCUGAUACCGGAUGAUACCUGAGGGUCAAAGAUUUAUCGCCUUUGGAGGGGCCCGCGUCGGAUUAGGUAGUUGGUGGGGUAACGGCCUACCAAGCCUGUGAUCCGUAACUGGUCUGAGAGGAUGACCAGUCACACUGGGACUGAGACACGGCCCAGACUCUUACGGGAGGCAGCAGUGGGGAGUAUUGAACAAUGGGGGCAACCCUGCUCCAGCAAUGCCGCGUGGGUGAUGGGGGCGUGCGGGUUGUAAAGCCAUAUGGGCGGGGACGAUGAUGAGGAUACCCGCAGAAGAAGCCCCGGGUAACUACGUGCCAGCAGCCGCAGUAUAAC